rnacentral:rRNA from 1 species
AGAACUUUGAAGAGAGAGUUCAAUAGUACGUGAAACCGUUCGGGGGUAAACGGACAGAGCCCGUGAAUCUGGGCGGCGGAAUUCAGGAUGGCUGGCGUGCUCUCGCGGUGCGUCGGUCGUUUGAUAUUUCCGUCGCCAACUAUCGCAGACGUCGCGACCUGUUCGCGGUCGGUCCUUGCUCGGAGGAGCCGUGUUCGAGUUCGUUGUGUGCGCGCUUCUGGCGCGUCACACGGCGAAGACGCGGAUCUCUGGCUGGCCGUCGGACAGUAUGCUCAACGGUGUCCGAUGUCGUCGUCUCGUACGCGCGGCAUCGGUACCGGUCAGCGACGAAUUCUUCGGGCCUCUUUCCGACCCGUCUUGAAACACGGACCAAGGAGUCUAACAUGCGCGCGAGUCGCGGGGUAUCGAGCGUACUUCGGUGCGUUCGUUAUGUUGCGAAACCCGUACAUGUCGAAGGCGUAAUGAAAGUGAAUGGGGAAGAUGGUGUUCCGAGUUCACGUUCCGCGAUCGUCGGUAUCGCGGCCGGACACCCGCAUUCCCGGGGCGUCUCAACGGCCCGUCGCUGAUGCGGACAGUCGUCUUUCGGGGCGGCUGUCGGUCGGCGACGAACCGAGGCGCACCUAUAGCGUGCACGUUGGUACCCGAAAGAUGGUGAACUAUGCCUGGCCAGGAUGAAGUCAGGGGAAACCCUGAUGGAGGUCCGCAGCGAUUCUGACGUGCAAAUCGAUCGUCUGAGCUGGGUAUAGGGGCGAAAGACUAAUCGAACCAUC